rnacentral:rRNA from 1 species
GACGAACGCUGGCGGCGUGCCUAAUACAUGCAAGUUGAGCGCUGAAGGUUGGUACUUGUGCCAACUGGAUGAGCAGCGAACGGGUGAGUAACGCGUGGGGAAUCUGCCUUUGAGCGGGGGACAACAUUUGGAAACGAAUGCUAAUACCGCAUAAAAACUUUAAACACAAGGUUUAAGUUUGAAAGAUGCAAUUGCAUCACUCAAAGAUGAUCCCGCGUUGUAUUAGCUAGUUGGUGAGGUAAAGGCUCACCAAGGCGAUGAUACAUAGCCGACCUGAGAGGGUGAGCGGCCACAUUGGGACUGAGACCCGGCCCAAACUCCCACGGGAGGCAGCAGUAGGGAAUCUUGGGCAAUGGACGAAAGUCUGACCGAGCAACGCCGCGUGAGUGAAGAAGGGUUUCGGAUCGUAAAACUCUGUUGGUAGAGAAGAACGUUGGUGAGAGUGGAAAGCUCAUCAAGUGACGGUAACUACCCAGAAAGGGACGGCUAACUACGUG